GGAGAGAAUAUGGUGGGUUUGAUUAAGACUAGAGACCUGGAGAGAUUAUCAAGUUGGGUGUUGAUUACAUCUUAAGAGAGCAAAUACACCUAAAACUGACGUCAACGACCAUGAGCUGUGACUUUUGGUACAGAGAGAUACCUGUCACUGCUCUUCCAGUAAGAGUGCGGGAGUCACGGAGGCAAAGGAACUGUAUCAUCAUGGGUUGCAUUGAAUACCACUUGGAUCAUCACCAGUGGCCUCUUGGAUGAUACAGUUAACUGCCAAUUGUUCUUCAAUGUUACUUUUAUCCCCGCUUAGCAUAACAUUUACAUGCAGAUUGCCCCUAUGCUUGGCCUUUGUAAAUUCUCCUCCAUCCGCCAGUGGCUUCUUUAGAGAUGGUUUUUUAUGGAUCCUGUUGAAGAAGCUGCUGCUGCUGCUGGCCAGGUGCUUCGGACACUAAUUCAGUAGAAUAAUUAGUGCCCAUAUGUAAUGUAAAUCCUGGUACUGUGACAAAGGAUUCUACCCCUUCAUCAACAUAAUCAUGUCAUAUAGCCCGAGUUGGAUCUAUUAGUGUUUUGAUUUUAGUUACUCAAGAAAUUUAUUCUAAAAGUGAAACUUUUUGUAUCCUAAGACAAUGCAAAAUCACAAAAAGAAAUUUUAUAAUUAUUAUACUCUUAAAAUUUAAA